AUUUGGAAAACGAGCGCCCACAGUUAACUAAAAUUUUUCGAAACAGUGGUGCAAUUCUGUUGAGGAUUAGCACCACUAGUAUCUACGUAUUGAAACGCUGGUUUAGAAGUUACGGAUUGGUUAUUCCCGGAGACCUCUAUUGGCCACGUGCCCGUCCCACCGGUUAAACCCCCACCGUGUGACAUUCGGAUGAGGCGGUAGCCGAGGGCAUGGACUUGCUCCUCCAGUAAACCCGAUCGGUGGGCUCUGCAAGCGUCGCCUGAACCCGUUCGACCCAUGGGGAUAAUCAGACUGACUCUUCAAAUACACCAGUCGCCUCACGAGCAAUCAAGUGUGCGGGUGUACCUAACCUCACGCCGCAGAUGGACCGCGGUCAUUGACCCUUGGCAUCGGAAGCAGCUGAAGUUACCUGCGGCCGGUACAAUCGUGUGCCACCUCGAGACCUCGAGUAGGAACUCGGUCUCCAGCCGGGAAGCAUCCACCCCGCCUCGGAUUUAGUUAUAUUUUCUAUCUUUCUUUCAAAAUUAGACCCGAUAUGCGAAACCCUGUUUUUUUAUCCGCUUUCUGUUUAACUACGUUCUUUUGAUACGGCAAAAAUUUGCAACAGCCAAUUAAAUCCGGUAUAAACAAAAA